rnacentral:rRNA from 1 species
AGAGUUUGAUCCUGGCUCAGAUUGAACGCUGGCGGCGUGCCUAACACAUGCAAGUCGAGCGGUAACAGGUGUAGCAAUACAUGCUGACGAGCGGCGAACGGGUGAGUAAUGCUUUGGAAUCUUCCCAGUAGUGGGGAAUAACCAGUCGAAAGAUUGGCUAAUACCGCAUACGUCUGAAAAGGGAAAGCGGGGGCUCGUAAGACCUCGCGCUAUUGGAUGAGCCAAAGUCGGAUUAGCUAGUUGGUGGGGUAAUGGCCUACCAAGGCGACAAUCCGUAGCUGGUCUGAGAGGACGACCAGCCACACCGGAACUGAGACACGGUCCGGACUCCUACGGGAGGCAGCAGUGGGGAAUAUUGGACAAUGGGGGAAACCCUGAUCCAGCGACGCCGCGUGUGUGAAGAAGGCCUGCGGGUUGUAAAGCACUUUUAGUGGGGACAA